UGCUCCCUUAGCUCAACUGGAUAGAGCAGUCGACUUCUAAUCGACAGGUUGAGGGUUCGAGUCCUUCAGGGAGCGCCC
rnacentral:tRNA from 1 species